GGUGUAAGGUUCUCCUUCCAUUUGUUCUUUUGCACAUAAUGAAUUUCUCUCGACUUUUCUCAUAGACGUAGGCUAUGGCAGAGCCAUAUAAAUCCUGAUGUUCUUGUGUGGUUUGCUCUUGUUUAUUUUUAUUAUAUUUUUUUUUAUCUUUGACAUACAAAUACAUUUGGAGAUAUAUAAUUUUAUUUGAUUAUUCUAUUACACUAUAUCUCUAUUUUGGCAACAUGGUCUCUACAUUUAUAUA
rnacentral:lncRNA from 1 species